CAGAUACUUUUUAUUUUUAUUCGUUUGCUUCUAUAAAUACUCCUUUUCCUAACCCUUAGAACUGGUACUUUGGGCUGUCGAAGAGAGGCUUCCAUGGCAAGCGAAGCACUAGAGAUGGUGACGGAAAACGCAAAGAAAGAGAACCAGGAAAAGAAGAAACGAGAAAAGAUGUUAUUCUCCAGAAAUAUUUUAACUAUUGGUCUAGUAUCCCUCAUGAUAUACUUCAGCUGAUUGCUGAAAAACUUAGCUUUGUUGAUUGCUUAUCGAUGAGCAAAGUUUGUAUGAGUUGGAAUGCCAUUCUUGGAGAAGAACUUCCUAGUACACAAAGGCAGGGACUUCCUUGUCUCUUGGUUUCAGGUCUGGGGAACAAUGGGACUAAAACUUGUAUAAGUGUAUUAGAGAAUCGUGUUUGGGAGUUGAAGUUGCCAGAGUCAUGUGGAAAGUAUUGUUGGGGAUCAUUUUGUGACUGGUUGAUUAUGGUAAAUAUUCUAUUCGAGGUUGUAGUUAAAGUUAAGUUACUGAAUCCAUUUUCAGGAAGUCAAAUUGAUCUCCCUCCAUUAGGUAACGAUUAUCACAAAAUGGUGUUCUCUGGGCUUCCCUCUGAGAAAAACUUUAUCUGCAUGGUUGUAGACCGCCAUCUUUUUGAGUGAAAUUUUGGCUUAGAGGAGCAAAAUCAUGGACUACAUAUUUUCGACUAAGUCAGCGAUGUCAGGAUGCUGUAUUUUGUAAUGGAAGUUUUUACUUUCUGGAUGAAGGAUUAGAUAUUUUGCAAAUUGAUGUUCGAAGUAUCUACUCUGCCAUUAAAGAUGGAACAGUUUUCGCUUUAAAACCAAGGCGUUAUAAUGUACGCGGGCCUUAUUUUUUUCAAAUAUUACUGAAUCAAAGAAGGACCAAGAAAUAUUUUGCAUAUCUUGUGGAGUCAGUUGGGAAACUUUUACUUGUUCUUAGAUAUUUUAAUCUCAAACGAAAUAAAUGGAUUCAGACCAAAAAAUUUGAGGUAUUUGCAUGUGACUUUGAAGAGUUACGUUGGAAGAUGGUUGAGGAUUUAGGAGAUCAAAUGAUAUUUUUGGGGAAAUGUUGUUCAACAUCCUUCUCUGUAAAGGAAGUUGGAGUUGGAAUUAGAAACAGCAUUUACUUCUGCAAUGAUCCAGUGGAUCCUUGGGCGAAUGAAUGGGAUUUUAGUCAUGCAAAACGUAAAAGGAAGCGUUCAGGCUUGAAUAGGACUGAUGUAAACAAUUGGGGCAUUUUCACUUUUGGCAAUAAGGAUCAUGAGCCCUUUUUCUUCCGUGGUGAUAGAAAUACGUGGACAGACACCUGGUUUACUGCUCCUUCAUGGUGGUGCUGUAGAAAUAUUCCUCCAAUAAAAAGGAAGUAAGAUUUAUAUGUCUCUUGUCAAAUCUAUCAAAGUGGCAGAGAUGUUUCAUCCAUCUCUAUCAUGGAGGAUAUUUUUAUAAUUGGAAUGUCGAUCAUUUUUCUUCAUGUUUGGACUUUUGAACAAUGUGUUUUAAUUUAUAUUUAUGAUAUAGAUCUUCAAUUUAUUAUAAUUUUAUA